GCAACAGCUCAAAUUUGAAAUCUGGCUCCUUCGGGGUCCGAGUUGUAAUUUGUAGAGGGUGCUUCGAGCGAAGCCCCGGCCCAAGUCCCUUGGAACAGGACGUCAGAGAGGGUGAGAACCCCGUGUCCGGCCGGCGGCGCUCCUCGUGUGAAGCCCCUUCGACGAGUCGAGUUGUUUGGGAAUGCAGCUCUAAAUUGGUGGUAAAUUCCAUCUAAAGCUAAAUACCGGCCAGAGACCGAUAGCGCACAAGUAGAGUGAUCGAAAGAUGAAAAGCACUUUGAAAAGAGAGUUAAAAAGUACGUGAAAUUGUUGAAAGGGAAGCGCUUGCGGCCAGACUUGCCCGCGGAGGUUCAGCCCGUCUUCUGGCGGGUGCACUCCUUCGCGGUCAGGCCAGCAUCGGUUUGGGCGGUCGGACAAAGGCCUUGGGAACGUAGCCCCCUCCGGGGGGUGUUAUAGCCCUCGGUGCAAUGCGGCCAGCCCGGACCGAGGAUCGCGCUCUGCUAGGAUGCUGGCGUAAUGGCUGUAAGCGGCCCGUCUUGAAACACGGACCAAGGAGUCUAACAUCUAUGCGAGUGUUUGGGUGUCAAACCCGUGCGCGUAAUGAAAGUGAACGGAGGUGGGAGCCUUAGGGUGCACCAUCGACCGAUCCUGAUGUCUUCGGAAGGAUUUGAGUAAGAGCAUAGCUGUUGUGACCCGAAAG
rnacentral:rRNA from 1 species